UACGUAGGGUGCGAGCGUUAAUCGGAAUUACUGGGCGUAAAGCGUGCGCAGGCGGUUCGCUGUGUCCUGUGUGAAAGCCCCGGGCUUAACCUGGGAAUGGCAUAGGAAACUAGCGAGCUUGAGUGCGGCAGAGGGGGGUGGAAUUCCGCGUGUAGCAGUGAAAUGCGUAGAGAUGCGGAGGAACACCGAUGGCGAAGGCAGGUCUCUGGGCAUUAACUGACGCUGAGGAGCGAAAGCAUGGGGAGCGAACAGG
rnacentral:rRNA from 1 species